UACGUAGGGGGCAAGCGUUAUCCGGAUUUACUGGGUGUAAAGGGAGCGCAGACGGUGAGACAAGUCUGAAGUGAAAACCCAAGGCUCAACCAUGGGAUUGCUUUGGAAACUGUCUGACUUGAGUACCGGAGGGGUAAGCGGAAUUCCUGGUGUAGCGGUGAAAUGCGUAGAUAUCAGGAAGAACACCGGUGGCGAAGGCGGCUUACUGGACGGUAACUGACGUUGAGGCACGAAAGUGUGGGGAUCAAAC
rnacentral:rRNA from 1 species